CACCUGGGAGGUGAGGCCACACUCUCUGACCUCCCCUCACUGAAGACCUUGCUUCUGACACACAUAUCUGACACCUGGGAGGUGAGGGCACACUCUCUGACUUCCCCUCACUGAGGACCUUGGUCCUGACACACUGGGCUGUCACCUGGGAGGUGAGGGCACACUCUCUGACCUCCCCUCACUGAGGACCCAGGUCCUGAACAAUGGGCUGUCCACUGGGAGUUGAGGACACACUGUCUGAACUCCCCUCACUGAGGACAUUGGUCCUGACACACUGGGCUGUCACCUGGGUGGUGAUGGCACAUUCUCUGACCUCCACUCACUGAGGACCUA
rnacentral:lncRNA from 1 species